rnacentral:rRNA from 1 species
UACGGAGGGUGCAAGCGUUAUCCGGAUUCACUGGGUUUAAAGGGUGUGUAGGUGGCAGUGUUAGUCGAUUGUUAAAACCUGGGGCUCAACCCCAGAUGUGCGAUCGAAACGGCACAGCUAGAGGAUGCGAGGGAUGUAUGGAACUCAUGGAGUAGGGGUGAAAUCCGUUGAUAUCAUGGGGAACACCAAAAGCGAAGGCAGUACAUUGGCGCACUCCUGACACUGAAACACGAAAGCGUGGGUAGCGAAUGGG